AACUUGCAACAAUGUGUCUCUUGGCUCUCGCGUCGAUUAAGAACGCAGCGAAAUGCGAUAAGUAAUGUGAAUUGCAGAUUUUCAGUGAAUCAUCGAAUCUUUGAACGCACCUUGCGCUCCUUGGUAUUCCGAGGAGCAUGCCUGUUUGAGUGUCAUUAAAUUCUCAACUCCGAUCGAUUUGUUUCGACCUCGGAGCUUGGACUUUGGAGCGUGCUGGCGUCGGUCGGCUCCUCUCAAAUGCAUCAGCGGAAUCUAACGUUUCGGACGUCAGUGUGAUAAUCACGUUGCGCUGUCGACCGAUCCUGAAAGCCCGCUCAUAAUGGUCUUCGGACAACUUCAUAUCAAAUUUGACCUCAAAUCAGGUAGGACUACCCGCUGAACUUAAGCAUAUCAAUAAGCGGAGGCU
rnacentral:misc_RNA from 1 species